UACGUAGGGGGCAAGCGUUGUCCGGAAUCAUUGGGCGUAUAGAGCGCGUAGGCGGCCCAGUAAGUCCGCUCUGAAAGUCAGGGGCUCAACCCCUGAAUGCGGGUGGAUACUGCUGGGCUAGAGUCCGGAAGAGGCGAGUGGAAUUCCUGGUGUAGCGGUGAAAUGCGCAGAUAUCAGGAGGAACACCGGUGGCGAAGGCGGAUCUCUGGGCCUUACCUGACGCUGAGGCGCGAAAGCUAGGGGAGCGAACAGG
rnacentral:rRNA from 1 species